ACCUCAUUAACAUAACAAAAGAUAGAUUUAUGCUCUCAUCACUUAGAAGAUGCCAAGGGUUUAGGAGUUCUGUGCCAGCAACUGGAUGAAGAGCAAAUAUAUAUUUCUUAUUAUAAAAUCACAACGUCACAGUUGCCUUUACCAGAAAAGAGGAAAUGGAUUUUAGACAGCCAACAUACCGCUACAUUGGGGAACAUCCAUGAAGGAGAACUAAGUUGGAUUUUGAAGUGUUGCAUUGCAUUGUGGACCAGAAAAAGCUCUGUGCAUAGGUUCUAGAUAACACAGCCUACUUCAAGCCCUUCAGAAAAUCAGUCAACCAGUCUCUCAACCCGCUCACCAACCUGCCCACCCACCAACCGAUAAACCAGCCAGCAUUUGCUGAAGGCCCACUUUGCUGUUCCUGGAACAGUGUUUGGCACUGUGGGAAAUGCUAAAGCAGGACCAUACAGAGUCCCUGCCACCCUGAUGCUUAUAAUCUAGGUGGAGAGACAAGACAAAAAUACAUGACAGAAUUACAGAAUCUGACAGAAUGUAAUAAAGUGCUAAAUUGUGUGGUACAGACAAUUAGAGAACAAGACAGUAUAUAAUAAAGUGCUAAUUGUGUGGUACAGACAAUAAGUAUAAUAGGAGUUCAGUGAAGGGAUGGAUGAGUGUGGGCUGUAGUCUUCAGGGAAGGCUUCUCAUCAUGUCAGGCUGCCGUGUUUACCCAGUGCAUGAUGGGAAACUGAAUAUGAAAUAGAAGAUGGAUUAAGAACAGAAUAACCGUACUGUACCGUGGAGUCUCGUCUCAGUCUGCAUGAGGACAGAAAGAGAAAGAGUUCUUUGAGAGGUGGUAUUCUCCAUUAAAAAGGAGAAUAGAGAAAUACCUUAUUUUCUUUAUUAAUUAUGUUACAGAAAAUUUCCACAGAAACCUAAAAUUGUAUUUUAAAUUGAAAAAUGUUUUACGUGUACUAGGAGAGUUCAGUAUUUAAAGAAAUCGUGUCAUAAAUUUUUUUCAUUAACGAAGAAUUCUUUUAUAUGAUAAUCACUUACUAGUCUAUCUUUAUACAGGAUUCCUUAAAGCAAAUAAAUAGAUACUCUUGACUACUACUGGCAGGACUGAUAAAACUUUUGCAAGAUAAUUUAGCAAUGUGUACUUCAAAUCUUGAAAAUAUGCAUAUUCUACAGCUUAUCAGUUUCACUUCUGGGGAAUCAUCCUAAGGAUGUAAUCACAGCUGAUUGCAAGAAUAACUGUUCUACAAAGAUAAUUAUCACAGAGUUGAGAGAAACUGGGGACAUCUAAAUGUCCCCAAAUAGAGGACUGAUGAAAUAAAUUAACACAUAUUUAUAAAAUGGAAUGUGUAGUCACCAAAAUGUUACCAUAGAAAGAUAUUUAAUAUGAUAGAAAAUGUUUACAGUAUGUAGAUAAGUAAAAAAAAAUCUGAAACUUGUAGAGUAUGAUUCCACUUUUGUUAAAAAUAUGUUUUAUGCAGAGAAACAUCUGAGUGGUGAAGAUAGAUGUAGUUUCCACUUUAUGCUUUUGUGUA
rnacentral:lncRNA from 1 species